rnacentral:lncRNA from 1 species
CGGAGAUGUUUGCUUGUGGAUCCCGAUUGAGGCGUUCUCUCUUGCCCGUUCUCUCUUUUGUUGGUCCUAAGGGACAAUGGGAGUCUUCGGGGAGGCUGACCUUUGCGGACGGACACGCAAGGGUGCUGCACGACUUAGGCAAAACCAGCUAAGUCCGUGUCAUAUGGUAUCAGAGCGGGACAAGCACUCAUAGAAACACUUAGCAUGCAAACGUGGGGGACCUAGCGGGACUGCGUUGAGGGCAGUCAGCACACGCGCGACCGUUUGGGGGACAACGGGCAUGGAGAUGUAGGGAAAAGGAGUCGCUCAGAGGAGCGGGCAUCUGAGAUUGACAUUCAGAGGAAUGGCAACCCUUCGCGCAAGAGGCACCACGAGAACAGGCAAGCUUGGAAGAAUGUGGAGCGCACAAAGGUUGGGAUGGCUGAGUUUGAGCUACGGCUCAACGUUGACAACUAUACUUGAUGGUGCUCUAGGCAAGCGAGGCGCUUGGCAAGAAUGAGACCAUCCAAGGUGGAAUGAGUUGCUCAACGACCAAAAGAGUUAUGCAAAGCUCACAAAGGUGAGGGGAAUUGCUAACUCAAAGAAUUUGGUACUCAUGCAUGGGCUUGUAUGCGGACGAUGGAAUGUUCGUGGCCAUCCCAAGGCGACCGAAACUCGGCGCCAUGGAGCAUUGAAACUUUCUCUUCGGCAUGUGAAGGAUACGUCCGUAGGAGGCUGAAGUGUGCAAUGAGUUUAGCAUGUUGCUAGGCCUUGAGGGGUGCAGCGGGGGCUGUAUUGACGGAGAGUCGCAAUCUAGCAAGUGCGUUUGCAGGAGGCAAAACAAUACACAGUUUGUUCAGCAGAUCGGAGUAGUCCAAGGGGAUGGUGGUCUCCGAAACGAAGAGAGAUGUCGCUCCAAUGGGACAGUUAUCCAGGAGGGAUAAGUCCCGGCUCUCCAGAGGGAGAAUCAUGUGAGACGGACCUCACAUGUUGAGGAGGCGUACCUCAACAAACAACAACUCCACGAAGCUCGAUGGACUGAGCAAGCGGCGAGGAGUCGUCGCAUGAUCUCGCUCGAGAGAAUGCAUUGGUGGAUGCAUUGCGAGAUCAAGUGGGGGAGCGACCUAAAGCAACUUAAAUGAAGGCACACUUGGAGUCGAUGUGGAGAUCGAACUCAAGGGAGGGCUGACCCGUGGAAUGGUGGGCGCGAGGGCCACCAUCGACUCAAUGCAGAAACGAGGAGCGGAGCAACUUGGGUGUAACUUGGUGAAGUUCCCAAGCCACAUGAAGGGAGCCAGCAGAGAAGUUGGAACAUGGAGUAGAGGCACAGUGCUUUUCUUAGACAGAGGUCAAGGACAUGAGCUCUUGCAGAGGCAAGAGCAGGAUCAUGUUGUUCCAUGGGUCCUUCAUUCUGACGGAGUGGACUCAUCUUGCAUGGUGCCAAAGAUGAAGGGAGCUUCUGGGCACAUGCACCUUAUCUCGGAGGAGCAUUUGAUGGAGGAACUAAGGCAACUCAAUUUGCGGAGGCGAAGUUGGGUUCAGAAGGCCUUAGCACGGGGCAAGAGGACGCAGAGGCGGGUACUCUUGAAGAAUAUGCCACAGUGUUGCCAUUCGAGUUGCUAGGAAGGAAGCGGUGCGCAGCGAAGAUUGUGCUAGUAGGGGCAGAGGCCCAGGAUCCAGACAAUGGUGCACAAAUUAUAGUGAAGUCGGUGGACUUCGGGAGCUACUAGGUGAUGGACUGUCCUAAAGCGGUGCUUCAUCUAGGUGUGACCCAAGAGUGGGUGGAUGAAGGUCGAUUGCCAAAGGAGCGAACAAAAUCGAAGGUGGAGGAGACCCUGCGAUGUAUUGGCAGAGGCCACACAUGGAGGGUUCACAAUUCGAGUUUAUUCCACAAGGAUCAGAAUGCAAUGGAGAUGUCACCAGGAGGCGACAUGGUGCAGCGGAUCAUGGUGGAACAGUUCGUGGCAAUGCGAUACACACGAGUUUGUCCCGUGAGGGAUGAGAUCAUAUGGAGGUAUGAUCGGGAGCUACUGGGAGCUCCGCUUUGGUGAACAACACGACGGCAAGAAGGGCUAUGGAUUCAAGGAGUGAAGGCCAUGGUACCGCAGAGGCGGGUCUUCCGGGCGUGCACCGAAUUUUGCAUCGGAUGAAAACCUUGGUCAUCAGCAUAUGGGGGCUGGGUUCCACCAAGGGAAAAGUUCGAAUGCAAGUACCAGUGAGUUCCAUGGGAGGGACUUGAUCAUGCAGAGGUAUGAUCGAAGCAGCUGGAGAGUUGCACUGCUCCAGAGCUCAUAUUCGCUUAAGGGAGCCCGGCAAGUCAGAGGACAAGGCCGAGUAAGCGAACGUUGCUACCAAGGAAGCUAAGGAGAACAGAAUUGGUGCAAACCCUACGUGAUGGCAGAGGCCAUGCAUGGGAGUUGCAGUCUGUCUUUCCAUCGACCAAACGGACUGCUUGGAGAACACAGAGGUGUUGAAGCAGGGGGUCGAAAGGGGCGAGGAAGCGACGACGAGUCCAGAGGGACUUAGCUACCCAAAAUCAAGCAUCAGUAAGAAUGGAGGUGGACUCAGAGGAGUGCCACGGAGACAUAUCUACUGAUCAUGAAGAAAAGGGAUGCAGAUGCGAGGCAAUGGAUAGUAGGGCCAUGGGCAUGGCAGCGCUAUGGUACCGUAGAGGCGGGACUUCCGUGAAAGUCAUGAUCCCUUGCUCUCACGGAGGGAGAGCGUUUGGUCGUGAAAGGGGCCAAGGAGGUGGAGCAUGUAGAGGCAAUCUCCAAGUACCGAGACAAGGCUGAAGGGCAGAGGCCAAGAAACUUCGUAAGACCGGUGUCAACAAGUUUCUCAUCAAGAUAGCCGUAAGUGAAGGACUUCGGGUCAUGCAAGAGUGCACGACCAAGGAAUGAAGCAAGCAGUAUGCGGUGUUGUACCUUUGCUACUCAGUGGAGUAGGUGGCAGGGUUGAUGGAGAAGACGGUACAAUCCCAGAGGCGACCUCAUCUAUCAGAGAAUUACUCCAAGUUGGGGUGAAAACUUCCCGCAUUCCAGAAGUUCGAUGGCAUUGAGAAGGUGAAUCACAGUAGCUAACUCAACGCAAGGAGUGAAAACACUUCAAGUGCUUCAAAAGUGUGAGCAAAGAGCAAGCGAAGGCCAGUAACCAGCUCGAUGCAUGAAGUACAACCUCGAGGAGGCGAGCGAAGUCAAGUAACCUUUGCCUUCUCAACUCUCAAGAGAAUGGGCGAAACCGAGUACCCCAGUUCUCUUAUCUAUCCAGCAGAGGAGCUCUGCACAAGUUCAAAGACCCUUCGAAGAUAAUGGAAGACAAUAGUUGUCAAAUCCUCACCAACGGUGAUCAGUGCUACUGAGAGUAGAUUGUCCGCUUCAUUUCCCAACGAAAUGCCAAUCGAAAGCGGAAGUGAUGCGAACCUACUUGGAUGUGACAACUAACUGAAAGAAGAGUCAAUGAGCAGAUUUUGUGGAGGAAGGACCCAAAACUUCAGAAGUUUGCGAGACGAUGCUCGUUAAAGCUCCAACAAGCAUCCACCCAGUUCGAGCAGCAUGUGGAAUUUAUGAGAGACUAGCGCAGUAAGGAUGGUCUUUUCCUUCAUCU